UAGUAUCAAAUAGCGAUAGAUUAUGAUUAGUAAGUACCAACCGGUAGCAAUACUGUUUGUCACCUAC